AUACGGAGGAUGCGAGCGUUAUCCGGAUUUAUUGGGUUUAAAGAGUGCGUAGGCUGAGCGUUAAGUCAGGGGUGAAAUGCCGUCGCUCAACGACGGAGCUGCCCUUGAUACUGGCGUGCUGGAGUACGGAUGCCGUUGGAGGAAUGAGUGGUGUAGCGGUGAAAUGCUUAUAUAUCACUCAGAACCCCGAUUGCGAAGGCAUCUGACGAAUCCGUCACUGACGCUGAGGCACUACAGCGUGGGGAUAGAACAGGAUUAGAUACCCUGGUAUUCCACGCCGUAAACGAUGAUGACUAACCGUCGGCGAUAGACAGCCGGUGGCCAAGCGAAAGCGAUAAGUCAUCCCCCUGGGGAGUACGUCGGCAACGAUGAAACUCAAAUGAAUUGACGGGG
rnacentral:rRNA from 1 species